GCACCCAUGGAGCAGCAGUUUAGCUCAUUCCCCUCCCAUUUGGCCGAGUGGGCGAGGGAAAGACCCGGGUGCAAACCCCGGUGGAUGCA